GGUAUGCUUAACACAUGCAAGUCGAACGGCAGCAUGGUGUGUAGCAAUACACACUGAUGGCGAGUGGCGGACGGGUGAGAAACGCGUAGGAAUCUGCCUUAUAGAGGGGGACAACUAGAGGAAACUCUGGCUAAUACCGCGUAAUGUCUACGGACCAAACGCUGGGGCAACCUGGCGCUAUAAGAGGAGCCUGCGUCCGAUUAGCUAGUUGGUAGGGUAAAGGCCUACCAAGGCGAUGAUCGGUAGCUGGUCUGAGAGGAUGAUCAGCCACACUGGGACUGAGACACGGCCCAGACUCCUACGGGAGGCAGCAGUGGGGAAUAUUGGACAAUGGGGGAAACCCUGAUCCAGCAAUACCGCGUGUGUGAAGAAGGCCUUCGGGUUGUAAAGCACUUUAGGUUGGGAAGAAGAUAUGUAGUUUAAGAGAUGACAUAUUGGACUGUACCGACAGAAUAAGCACCGGCUAACUCUGUGCCAGCANCCGCGGUAAUACAGAGGGUGCAAGCGUUAAUCGGAGUUACUGGGCGUGAAGGGCGCGUAGGUGGUUGUUUAAGUGAGA
rnacentral:rRNA from 1 species